GACGAACGCUGGCGGCGUGCUUAACACAUGCAAGUCGAACGGUGAAGCGCCUUCCUUUUUGGUGGGUGUGGAUGAGUGGCGAACGGGUGAGUAACACGUGAGUAACCUGCCCCCUUCUUCUGGAUAACCGCAUGAAAGUGUGGCUAAUACGGGAUAUUCUGGGUCUGUCGCAUGAUGGGUCUGGGAAAGAUAUUGUUUCGGUGGGGGAUGGGCUCGCGGCCUAUCAGCUUGUUGGUGGGGUGAUGGCCUACCAAGGCGGUGACGGGUAGCCGGCCUGAGAGGGUGGACGGUCACACUGGGACUGAGACACGGACCAGACUCCUACGGGAGGCAGCAGUGGGGAAUAUUGCACGAUGGGCGCAAGCCUGAUGCAGCGACGCCGCGUGAGGGAUGGAGGCCUUCGGGUUGUGAACCUCUUUCGCCAGUGAAGCAGGCCUGCCUCGUUUGUGGGUGGGUUGACGGUAGCUGGAUAAGAAGCGCCGGCUAACUACGUG
rnacentral:rRNA from 1 species